rnacentral:hammerhead_ribozyme from 1 species
AUCCGGCUGACGAGUCCCAAAUAGGACGCAACGCGAAUCCUGGAU